AGGGCUAUGCAGUCAGAAACACUGUAAGUUUUCCAGAAAUGCAUUCACUCAGCAAGCUGAAUACCCACUGAAUGAGCAAUGUUUCACCCCAUUACAAUUCUGCCUUUGAUUUUAUAUUGAAAAUGUGUGACCCUCUGCCUCCAAUCCACACACAAAUAAAUGUGAAAGGGAAGAAAUCUUCAGUUCACAGGGUGCUCAGGACCGAAAGAAAUUGAAGGUGUUUGCUGAUGUUGUGACAGCUCUCUUGCGAACCUGCCUGGACAAGAGACAGCUUCCUCGGAUGAGUUUUCGGAAGACUGGAGUGUGCUGAGACAAUGCAGCAGCAUCCCUCGCCCUUCAAAGGCCACGUCAUGCUGGCAUUUAGGUUUUUUUAGUCCUUGCCACCAAAGCACUCACAGCAGUAGCGAGACUGACAGUCAUGUAUCUUAUGAACAUCCAGUUACUCUGAACACAUCUGAAAGCUCAGGCAGAAAGAACAUGAUGAUACUCUACGCCUGGCAUUUCCAGUCCAGUAACUUCAACAGAACAAAGCUCACAAGGCAGGUCAGAACUGACAAUGAGACAACUUGAUAGCUUUGGGAAAAUCUGAAUGGCAGCUUGGUGUCAGAGCUACAGCUGAGGCACAGUCCAAUGAGCAUAGCAGCAACCAGCCUUCAUGGUGGGCAAGAGAAGCUGAUGACAACAAUGGAGAAGACUCGCUCUGGUGACAAGUUUAGAAACUACCCGUCUAUUGAACGACUCAUUGAUUCUUCUGAGGUGAAUCCGCUUAGAGCCGAAUGGCUAUAGGAAAUCAGCUCGUAUAUUCUGGCUGAAGGCAAUUCGGAAUGAGACUGCUUCCUUCAGGAUUUAAAACAGCUUUCCAGAAUGUUUGCUACAUGGAGAGAUCUUUGGUAUGCAAAUAUAAGUGGCGGGAGUCCUCAGAGCAUAUUUAUAUUUAUCCCCCAUCAUGAAUGUGUCCAAUAUCAUUCAAUUUUAUUAGAAGUGGAUGAUUGAUCGUGCCCGCCAGCUGCCUAAUAUCAUAAUUAACAAAGUUGCUACCGUGUCUGAGAAGUUUAAUCGAAAAAAAUUGCUAGCAGUCCGAUGCUGUUGUUGCCGAUGAGGUGAGAAGUAUGGCAAAGUUGACUUUUGGACUAAUGGAUCUGCAGAACUAUGUGGGCAGAAUAAGAAAUAAUGCACCUGAAUCGCUAAUGAUAACGUAACCAAGAGGACCAUGAUUUAUCUUGGGCAAAACAGCUUGAAUAGAAAAAAUGGUCUUCCAGAAUCCAUAGCAAAGGAAUAUCCGGAUGAAUAUAUUGAUGCUAUGACAAUCAUAUACUGAAGUUAUGAAAAUCUUAUACUGAUGAUAUGACAAAACAGGAAUUUAUCUCCCUAGUUCCAGUGAAUGUGGAGGGCUGAUACUUCUAGAAAGGAGGUCGAAUUGUGUUACCAUUCGUGGAGAGUGCUAGGUUUUGCUGGUGAAUCACAUUAUGAAAUCUGCAGCCAUGAAAGGCCCAUUUGUUGCAUUCUCCAUAAAAGAAAUAAAAGUGAUAACUAACAUGGGAAGCUAAACUGGCCACCAAUACAAAAUUAGUCUUUACUAUUGUUGCACCAGCACAUUGACUAUAAAUUUACAUUAGCCCUGGAGAGAGGCGGAUACACUGAAUGCACUGUGGAACACAUCAUGGCCUGAAACAAGAGAUCAAGCUAUAAGAUUUCCAAUAGAAUAUAAGCUCAUUUCCAAGAUGAUUGCCUUCUCUGAGGUGCCUGAUCUCUUAUAAAACAGAAAUAGUAUCAUCAAACAAUAUUCACAAGGAGGCUAAUAAUGAAGGAGUCCAUAAAGGAGGCCAGUGCCACCAGGGUUAUCUCCGAGCUCCAGAUGCUGGAUAAGUUGAAGGCGGCAGAAUCGCUUUUGGAUGACAUUCAGGUCUGAGUGAUGAUUUGGAGAAGAAAAGACCAUUCUUCCCGAGGUUUUCCCCUUUCUGUGCGACAAUGAGCUUUCAGCAAUACAUCCCUGAGACAAAAGAUCUGGUCUAUGGCCAGCGACACCAAAGAAGAGGCUUUGAAGGAAUGGUCAGGUUCAUGUUUAAUCAUGAGAAAGAAAUAGUCCACAUGGAGUCACCAGAAAAUUUAAAUAAAAUAGCAUGCUGACUGUGCUUAAUUCCAGCAAUUGCUAAGGGAAUUAAGAAAUGGCUUCUCCAGACGGUUCUGAUGAUGUAGCACCAUUGAGAUAAGCUUAUUGACCAACAACAAAACAUGAUGAGAGCUGCUACGUUUAAAUGAAUUGUGUAUGCAUUUACAGACGAAUGAUCUCCCAUUGUGCCCAAGAAGAGAGUCACAACAUAUAUGAUCAAGAAUGUAGUAAAAAAAUCCUAACUACUCAACUAUUUUGCCUUUCAGCCAUGAGGUUGUUUAUGUCCAUUAUAACCAGAACAUAAUGCUUCCUUGUAACUAGUUCACCAUCUAAAUUAUUAUUGAAAUCACCUGUGUAGCAUUAUCAGGUAAAUAAGAUAGUUCACAGCUCUUUUUAUAAUUCAGACUAAUCUGUUAAUUGUGCUAGCUACCUAUAUACUCAAUUGACAGUGUACAGAUGGAAGUGCAGAAACAUAUGUGUGUGUGAUGCUCUUGUUGUGUAUAUUUUCUUCACAGCCCAUCUAUUAACCACAGUGAAUGGAAUUGAAUGUAAUUCCAAAACUUGGAGAAGUUUUUUAACUAUAGGUAAUGGGAUCCCUCAGCUAUUAUGACCAGUAGAAAUGAUAGCUGGAGAAUGCUGAAAACCAUUGUGCAAAAACAAAACAAAACAAAACAAAAACAACCCCAAAACCUCUUUCUAGUGUUGUGUACAUGUUACACAUCAUGGAGAUACUCCCUGACUACAACAAUGCCUACAACAAUUGUUCCCCAUUAUUCUAUUCCCUCCUCCCAUUCCUCCCAUUACAGUGGCCUCCCCCCCUUGAGUCAAAGACAUUCAUAUGCAUUUUUAGAAAUGAUAUUUUGAAGACAUUAAUAAACGAGGCACAGAUGCAUAUGAACAGAGUAAAUUAUCAAGAUAAACUGUAAUCAGUGGGCUUAUGUAUCAUUACAUAUCAGAUCUACAAGUAGCAUCGUUUCUCAAGUAAAGCGGGGGGGGGGGGCUUGUUUCAUAAUAGCCUUAGCACCAGGCUACCUUACAUCUCGGAAAAUUAAAGAAAUGGUAUUAAUCCUGUAAAAAGAACUGUAAACAAAGUAAACUUUUUGUAAAUGUUUUUGAAUUCUGUAAACAUGAUAAUAAAUACAAAUUUAGCAUCCU